AUGACAGUUUACUGUCUUCAAACUGAAAGCUACGCAGACGCGCCCGCUGAACACCAGUGUGUCUGAAUGAUCGGCUGAAAAGUGCUCUGUGUAACGCUGAAGUGACAGCAGGUAUGUGAGCUGGGUCCUCAUCAAAUCCAACUCCAAACUGUGCAAAAGCAAGUGCAGAAGACACGAAAAGAAGGACUUCUGUUGCAGGACCCGGAAGCUUCUUUUUUGUUUUGUCACAUGGCUUACCGAGAUAUUUCAAUAACAAAAAAUGGCGACAAUCACGUUGUUCAGUGUUGUUUUGCUGCGUCAUUAAAAUAUUCACGUAAACACGGACAAGAAACAGAAAAUUGCGGGCUUGCUGGUUUUGCAAUAAUGUCACCCUGCAAAAUGACUCCGACUUCUCUGACUUCAUUUGUGAAGACUACUGAAACAAGUGCCUCUCAUUCAUCAGCUGGGGAGGAUUCAAGCGGAGACUUGAUGUGACAGGCCGCCCUGGUUCAGUUAUCACAGUGCUGAUGCUGUCCAUAGUAAAGGUACAGUACUGUGAUAACUGAAGGAUGGCGGCCAUCUUGUCCUCAAAGCAUCAUUCCAGAAAAUAAUUAUUCUUAUUACUUUUGUAUGUGCUAAAUAAUGUGUGUAUUUUUUUUUUACCAUCCAUGUGUCGCGUACAAAGUAUAAUUCGCCUUCAAAGUCAUGAAAACAUUUUCUUAUGAAAACUACCAAAAGUGAAUUAUAACUUUUGCAGAAGCUAACUGACUCCAAAGACACCAUAUAUGGGCAUUCCUCCUUGACAUUCUGAAAAUAAGGAAGGGGUAAGUUUGAACAAAACAAAGAAUCAACCGCUACACAAGACUGCACAUUAAUAUUUAAGAAUUAAUUUGUUUUUGCAGAUUUUGUUGGAUAAUGAGCACGGAAUCAGCAAACAGGAUUCGUUUUAUUAUUUUGUUACUGUGAAAUUUAGUAUGUAUGCAUACACUCUUUAAAAUGGAAAACAGACAUAUUUCCAAUUCCUGACUACUGGGAUGACGUAUUUUUGAAGAGACUGAACAAGAAAAAAUGUAAAUAAAAUUUUGUUGGGGGAUGGGAGUUCCUUUAUGCCAACUGGAACAUAAAAGACCUUUCGGGUUUCAUUUUCAAAUAAAUUAAAUUCUACAAAUGA